AGUGAACGCUGGCGGUAGGCCUAACACAUGCAAGUCGAACGGCAGCACAGGAGAGCUUGCUCUCUGGGUGGCGAGUGGCGGACGGGUGAGGAAUACAUCGGAAUCUACUUUUUCGUGGGGGAUAACGUAGGGAAACUUACGCUAAUACCGCAUACGACCUACGGGUGAAAGCAGGGGAUCUUCGGGCCUUGCGCGAUUGAAUGAGCCGAUGUCGGAUUAGCUAGUUGGCGGGGGAAAGGCCCACCAAGGCGACGAUCCGUAGCUGGUCUGAGAGGAUGACCAGCCACACUGGAACUGAGACACGGUCCAGACUCCUACGGGAGGCAGCAGUGGGGAAUAUUGGACAAUGGGCGCAAGCCUGAUCCAGCCAUACCGCGUGGGUGAAGAAGGCCUUCGGGUUGUAAAGCCCUUUUGUUGGGAAAGAAAUCCAGCUGGCUAAUACCCGGUUGGGAUGACGGUACCCAAAGAAUAAGCACCGGCUAACUUCGUGCCAGCCGCCGCGGUAA
rnacentral:rRNA from 1 species